GGCUCAGAUGAAACGCUGGCGGCAUGCCUUACACAUGCAAGUCGAACGGCAGCAUGACGUGUAGCAAUACACGUUGAUGGCGAGUGGCGAACGGGUGAGUAAUAUAUCGGAACAUGUCCCGUAGCGGGGGAUAACCUAUCGAAAGAUGGACUAAUACCGCAUACGCUCCACGGAGGAAAGCGGGGGUCGCAAGACCUCGCACUAUGGGGGUGGCCGAUAUCGGAUUAGCUAGUUGGCGGGGUAAAUGCCCACCAAGGCGACGAUCCGUAGCUGGUCUGAGAGGAUGAUCAGCCACACUGGAACUGAGACACGGUCCAGACUCCUACGGGAGGCAGCAGUGGGGAAUUUUGGACAAUGGGCGCAAGCCUGAUCCAGCCAUGCCGCGUGAGUGAAGAAGGCCUUCGGGUUGUAAAGCUCUUUCGGCAGGAACGAAAUGGUUCGUGCUAAUACCAUGGACUGAUGACGGUACCUGAAGAAGAAGCACCGGCUAACUACGUGCCAGCAGCCGCGGUAAUACGUAGGGUGCAGGCGUUAAUCGGAAUUACUGGGCGUAAAGCGUGCGCAGGCGGUUUCUUAAGUCAGAUGUGAAAGCCCCGGGCUUAACCUGGGAACUGCGUUUGAAACUGGGAGACUUGAGUGUGGCAGAGGGGGGUGGAAUUCCACGUGUAGCAGUGAAAUGCGUAGAUAUGUGGAGGAACACCGAUGGCGAAGGCAGCCCCCUGGGUUAACACUGACGCUCAUGCACGAAAGCGUGGGGAGCAAACAGGAUUAGAUACCCUGGUAGUCCACGCCCUAAACUAUGUCAACUGGUUGUCGGGGGAUUGAUUCCCUUGGUAACGAAGCUAACGCGUGAAGUUGACCGCCUGGGGAGUACGGUCGCAAGAUU
rnacentral:rRNA from 1 species